GGUAUGGGAUGAGCUUGCGUCCGAUUAGCUAGUUGGCGGGGCAACGGCCCACCAAGGCGACGAUCGGUAGCCGGCCUGAGAGGGCGAUCGGCCACAUUGGGACUGAGAUACGGCCCAGACUCCUACGGGAGGCAGCAGUAGGGAAUAUUGCACAAUGGGGGAAACCCUGAUGCAGCAACGCCACGUGUGGGAAGAAGCAUUUCGGUGUGUAAACCACUGUCGUGAGGGAAUAAGGCUGUUUUUCGGAACAGUUGAAUGUACCUCGAAAGGAAGCACCGGCAAACUUCGUGCCAGCAGCCGCGGUAAUACGAGGGGUGCAAGCGUUGUUCGGAAUCACUGGGCGUAAAGGGAGCGUAGGCGGAGAUGCAAGCAGUCUGUACAGUACCGGGGCCCAACCCCGGACCUGCAGACUGGACUGUGUCUCUUGGAUAGUUCAGGGGCAGGC
rnacentral:rRNA from 1 species